CCAAAUAAAAUUGUGCCGGCACUGUGUUUUAGACAAAGAAAUCUUUUACGUAUGUUCGUCCCUCUUUAACACAAUCAGACCGCCAAAUUCCCGAAAUCGGGGCGAAUUAGAUGCGGCGCGGACAAGUACGUAACGAUUUACUACAGCCCCCGUCCCCCGUCGCGACAGUCACAUUUCACACUCGCUCGAAGACACAUUGCUCUUGUUUCUAGCUCAAAGUUUCCUCUCGCCACAAAUUGUCGAGUGACAAUUAUUUGCUCUAAUUGCAGAAAAAUUGAAAUUUGUAUAUCGUCAGCACCGGAAAAACCGGCAGCACUAUAUAUUCUACGUUGAUAACCUGCCAACUACAAAUGUGUAAUAAUAAUCCUUAUUUUAUACGAUGAGAAUAACAGCUAACUCCCGCCGAUUCAAAUCCACUUUGUAACCACAGCCAAGUCCACACAGCCAGGUGCAUUUUCAAUGGUGAUCUUGUGAGAACGUGUAGGAAUUGAGUUUAAUGUGCAUUAUUUUAAGUUACUUCUAGUAUUUUGGGCGUUUAAAAUAUUUUUUUAAUUUAAUAACACAAGAGAUGUCACGUGCCAAACGAAUCCUUGAUAUGGCCAUCGGUCAAACAGCAAAUGAAACCGAAGACUCAGAGCUGGGAGAAGACCCUGAGCAUAAUACUUGGAAGUAUUCUUUCGGGGAAAGCAGUGGUGUAGACUCAAUUCCCGUGUCGUUGGAGUUACCAAUGGAUAUAUUAGACUCUCCCAUAAAAGAAAAUCAACCCUUUGAAAACUUCCAAAUAGCCGAAAAUGUGCAAAUUGAUUUUAUUGACGAAAAUGGGCAAAAAUUAGAUAAUUGUGAAGAAGUUAUUGUACUGAAUGAAAUUCCUUUACUGGACAACUUAAAUGAAGCUCCUCGUGCUUCUACAGGAAUCAAUCAUAUUAAAAAACAAUCCAAUAUAGAAUCUACAAUUUCUGAUAUUUCCGAUGACGAAGCUAGCAGGUUGGUACCAUAUUCGGAUUCCGACUCAGGCUCAUCUUAUAGUUAUCCGACAAAAAGUAAAAAACGUAAAAAGCGCUUUCAAGUACAAGAAUCAACGUGGUUUGCUGAAAAAAAUUGAAAGUUAAGAGAAAGGGGUCAAAGUUACUUGGGACGAAUAAAAAAAAAUGGAAAAGGGACCUAUAACAAUCCAAAAAAACCUCGUACAAUGAAGGAAAGGUGCAAAUGUAAACUAAACCCUAAAGGAAUGUUAAAAUGCUCUGCAGUAAAUGAAAGUCAAAGGCAACUUAUUUUUAACAACUUUUGGAAAAUGACUUCGGCGGAAAAAGAGUUUAUGUAAACACUCUUGUCUUCUCUAUGCCACCUAAAAGACACAGAAACCGACAAAAAGAAAAUGAAAGUAAAAGGGGACAAACCCUUCAAUAUUUUUUAAGAGUAGGAGAAGUAAACUUUAGAGUUUGUAGGACAAUUUUCAUUACCACUUUAGGAAUAGGUCGCUGGACGAUACUCCAUUGGAAACGGUCUUUUCAUUCCCGUUCGCCUAAUGUUCAAAGAGAAACGUCAAUGGAAGGUCAAUUUUUAAAAUCAUUGCCAGUCAUGGAGUCUCAUUACUGCAGAUCAACAUCAGAAAAAAAAACCUUUUAGCUGAGUGGCAAUCUAAACAAAGUCUUUAUGAUUUUUACAUCAAUAAUUGGUGUGAAUCAAAAAAUGUGGAGUCGCUUUCUAUAGCAACAUUUUCCAAGGCUUUUGAAGAAAAAAAUUAUGCCAUUUUUCACCCGAAAAAAGAUUAACCAAUGCGAAAGAUGCGUUAGUUACAAGGUUGGCGACACCUCGGAAGAUAAAUACAAGAGUCACAUACAAAAGAAAAAUGCGGCAAGGGAGGAAAAGGAUAAAAAUACACAAAAAUAUUAUGUAUUUACGGUGGAUUUUCAAGCUGUGUUAAUGUGUCCCGUAUCUAAAGUGUCUACUUUACAUUAUAAAACAAAACUUCAAGUGCACAAUCUUUGUUUUUAUAAUUUAAUGAAUUCAGA